AGCGAACGCUGGCGGCGUGCCUAACACAUGCAAGUCGAACGUGAACGGGGGCAACCCCUAGUAAAGUGGCGUACGGGUGAGUAACACGUAGGUAAUCUACCCUAGAGUCUGGAAUAACCUGCCGAAAGGCGGGCUAAUACUGGAUAGAGCGACGGAACUCGUAAAGAGUUUUUCGGGAAAGGGAGCUCGCAAGAGCCCUUGCUUUAGGAUGAGCCUGCGUCCCAUUAGCUAGUUGGCGGGGUAACGGCCCACCAAGGCGAUGAUGGGUAGCUGGUCUGAGAGGAUGAUCAGCCACACUGGAACUGAAACACGGUCCAGACUCCUACGGGUGGCAG
rnacentral:rRNA from 1 species